AAAAAGAAAAAAUCCCGGAGCACGGCGACGAGCCCCUGGCAGCGCUCCCCGCAGCGCCGGGUGGCCGCGGGGGGGUCCCGGGCGCUCCGCAGCCGCGGCUCGGGGGGCGCCCGGCCCCGCGCAAGCUCCGCGCCCUGCGGCCCCCCCCGUUCCCUCCAGCCCCCCCCCCGCCACUCCCCCCGACCCGGCGCUUCGCCCCGCUCUCCCCCGCCGUCGGGGCUGCCGCGAGGAGCGCGGGGAAGAAGUUUGCCAAAGUUUCGGGUUUUUUCUUUUUUUUUUUUCCUCUCCCCGCUCCUUGCGCCUCGCCGCGGGGGCGGCGGGCAGGGGAGCGGGGCGGGCGGCCGGCAGCUCGCCGGUUGCAGGUGUGUGAAGGCGCCCGUCGGGAGGCUCCGCAGGCUGCAGCGCCGCACGGAGCCCCCCUCGGCCCGCACCCCCGGACCCCCCCACGCCCCGUCCCCCCGCCCUCUCUGCCGGGUGGGCUCCGUAGAGCACCGCGGCGGUGCCCCCGGCGCGGCCCCGUCCCCCGUCCACCCCGUCCACCCCCCCCGUGCCCGUGGAGCGCCGCCGAAGGAGCGGGAGCGACUCACUCAUGGGAGCGCGGCGGGCGAGGCCGGCGACACCUCCGGCUUCCGAGGCGCCGGCGAAGUUAAUUGCACUGAAGUUCAAGUUGUCUUUUCACCCAUCAGGAGUGGGCGUUUAAAGGAAGGAGAGCGAGGAGGAGGAGGGGGAGGGGGAGGGGGGAGAGUCGCUCUCGCUCUCGCUCGCUCUCGCACACACACACACACGCACGCACACACACACGGAGGCACAGACACACAGCCACACGCACAGACACACGGACACACGCACACAGCCACACGCGCGCACCCGCCCGCUCGGCUCCGCUCCCGAGCUGCCUCAGCAAGGAGGAGCCCGGACGGAAACCACCAGGGCAGCAAGCUACAAAUUUUCCAUCUGAAGAAUACACAGAGGAGGACACAUCCCCUGUUACCAAAGAAUGGAAAAAAACCCUGUGUCAAUGAAAGGCUCAUCAGGCUGUUAUUGGCUGCCAAAACAAAUAUUUUGGACUGAGAAAAACUGCACUUCAAACUAAUGAGGAUCCAGGUGACAGGCGUUUUAUUUAACUCAAUGCCAUAACUUCAUCUAUAAGGAAAAAUGGCCUAACAUAGCCAUUCGAGGAAAAAAAAAUCCAGAUAGUCUAGCAUCCUAUUCAUAUUCUGGGAUAAAAACAAAAACAAAAACCAACAAAACUGACAAAAUCCAAACAAACAGACAAAACUCUUACAUAGAUGUAUACACUUUGUCUUGGAAUUAGCUUGAUUUUUAUUCUAGAAUAAUUAUUCCACUCACAAUGCAGAGUAAUUAUUCCCGAAUAAAGUCCUUUUUUUUUUUUUUUUUUAUUACA
rnacentral:lncRNA from 1 species